rnacentral:rRNA from 1 species
GAUGAACGCUGGCGGCGUGCCUAAUACAUGCAAGUCGAGCGCGAGAAUGAGGAGCUUGCUCCUCAUGAUCGAGCGGCGGACGGGUGAGUAACACGUAGGCAACCUACCCUUGAGAUUGGGAUAACUACCGGAAACGGUAGCUAAUACCGGAUACGACUUUUCCACACAAGUGGAAUGGUUAAAAGGCGGAUUUAUCUGCCGCUCAUGGAUGGGCCUGCGGUGCAUUAGCUAGUUGGUGAGGUAGUGGCUCACCAAGGCGACGAUGCAUAGCCGACCUGAGAGGGUGAUCGGCCACACUGGGACUGAGACACGGCCCAG